rnacentral:rRNA from 1 species
UACGGGGGGAGCAAGCGUUGUUCGGAUUUACUGGGCGUAAAGGGCUCGUAGGCGGCCAACUAAGUCGGACGUGAAAUCCCUCAGCUUAACUGGGGAACUGCGUCCGAUACUGGAUGGCUUGGAUUUGGGAGAGGGAUGCGGAAUUCCAGGUGUAGUGGUGAAAUGCGUAGAGAUCCGGAGGAACCCCAGAGGCGAAGGCGGCGCCCUGGCUCGCAACUGACGCUCAGACACGACAGCAUGGGGAGCGAACGGG